CGCUGGCGGCGUGCCUAAUACAUGCAAGUCGAACGGUCUUUCUAUGGAAGCUUGCUUCCACUGAGAAGAUAGUGGCGAACGGGUGAGUAACACGUGGGUAACCUGCCCAUAAGAGGGGGAUAACAUCCGGAAACGGGUGCUAAUACCGCAUAGUUUUCUUGAUCGCAUGAUUGAGAAAGGAAAGAUGGCCUUUGUGCUGUCGCUUAUGGAUGGACCCGCGGCGUAUUAGUUAGUUGGUGAGGUAACGGCUCACCAAGACGAUGAUACGUAGCCGACCUGAGAGGGUGAUCGGCCACAUUGGGACUGAGACACGGCCCAAACUCCUACGGGAGGCAGCAGUAGGGAAUCUUCCGCAAUGGACGAAAGUCUGACGGAGCAACGCCGCGUGAGUGAAGAAGGUUUUCGGAAUCAUAAAACUCUGUUGUCAGAGAAGAACAAGUUGGAGAGUAACUGCUCCAGCCUUGACGGUAUCUGACCAGAAAGCCACGGCUAACUACGUGCCAGCAGCAGC
rnacentral:rRNA from 1 species